GGUCAAGUAGAAAAGGGCGCACGGUGAAUGCCUAGGCACUAAAAGCCGAUGAAGGACGUGACGAACUACGAAAAGCUUCGGGGAGCGGUAAGUACGCAGAGAUCCGGAGAUGUCCGAAUGGGGGAACCC
rnacentral:rRNA from 1 species